rnacentral:rRNA from 1 species
UACGUGGGGGGCAAGCGUUGUUCGGAAUUACUGGGCGUAAAGGGCUCGUAGGCGGCCAACUAAGUCGGACGUGAAAUCCCUCAGCUUAACUGGGGAACUGCGUCCGAGACUGGAUGGCUUGGAUUUGGGAGAGGGAUGCGGAAUUCCAGGUGUAGCGGUGAAAUGCGUAGAUAUCUGGAGGAACACCGGUGGCGAAGGCGGCAUCCUGGACCAACAUUGACGCUGAGGAGCGAAAGCUAGGGGAGCAAACGGG